AGUACCUGGAGUCAUAAUUAAUUCUGACCAGCAACAGGCAGAGUCUGGGACUGAACCUAUUUUAGGAAGAAAAACUGAAACUUGACUGGAAAAUAAGAUAAGGAUACUUGGAUUAAACUGCUUCCCCACCGUUCUGGAACCGCAAGAACCUACUAUGAAUAAUCUUCUUUCCUACAAACACCAACUUUUCCUGACCAUCAUAUGGGAUUUGUUUACCUUGUAUCUUACUGAAUCAGCAUAUUGGCCCUUUUUAUCAUCAAUCUUUGUAGUCUCGUCCUUGAUGUACACAUGAUCAUGUUUCUUCUGCAAUUUUUUGGCACUUACUUUAGAGCUUCACAAAAUGCAUAAGUUUUCCUCCAAAAUUUUAAUGAACAGCU